GCUGUUCUUAUAGAUCGCUUGGUGACGAAAACUACUUAUGGCCUCUAUUGCUGCCAUGGCUGUAGCACUUGCUACAAUUGCAAUCUGUGAAGUAGCAACCAAACAUGGAGCAGGAGGCAGUUGGGUUGCAAAUUGCUGCCAUCAUCUACGUGAGUGCUUACUCCUGGUGUUGGGCCCAUCACCUGGGUGCUGGUUGGAGAGAUGUUCCCUCAGGCUGCUAGAGAAAAGGCCUCUGCUAUCAUCUCAGUACUUAACUGGUUUUUAGCUUUUAUAAUCACCAAGACCUACUUUAGGUUGGAAUCUUUGGCUGGAAUUGCAGGUACCUGCACACUCUACAGCAGUGUAUGUGUCAUUGGACUGAUACUCGUGUAUUUACUUGUUCCGGAGACCAAGGGGCGGACCCUUGGGGAAAUAGAGGCCUACUUUACAUAUACUCGACGCUCGUGGAGAGUUGUGAAAAACAAACGUGAUGUGGCUCUGUCUAGCAUCUUGGAACAAGAAGGAGGAACAUCAGAUUCUUACAGUACAUUCCCAUCUGCAGAAUAAAGUGUUUAUCUCAAGCCCAUUUCCAUUUUGUAAGCACAUUUACUUAAAUCUUUUUAUGACCAUGGGAGUUGCAUUCUUGUACAGUACAAUGUUGUGUAUAUGGAAUCUGCUCCAAUAGAGAGUAACAACAUGUGAGAAAGAAGGGAGGUUUCUAUGUUUAUAAGUUCUGCCAUCCAUCAACUAUAUUUAACUACAGUAUAAAUAUUCCAAUAACUAUAGUUAUACAGUACAGGUUGACAAUCCCUUAUCCAAAAUCCUUGGGGCCAGAGGGAUUUCGGAAUUUUUCGGUUUUCAGA